GAAGGAAUUUUAACAUAUGGUGACGUGAAAAGGAGUUUGUUUAAGAACCAUGGGGAUUCUUCCAACAAAGAUUUAUCAGUCACAGAUGCAAAUACUUGUCUUGUGUCCUCUAUAUGCACAAAAGGGAUAAGCUAUCGUGGCCAAGAUUGUGGACUCCUAACUUGUUAUCCUGAUACGGAUCUAGCAAUUGCAAAGCAACUAAUGGAGGCAAAAGGAAUUAAACAAUUGCCUGUGGUCAAGCGUGGUGGAGAAUUCAG
rnacentral:misc_RNA from 1 species